CCUACGGGAGGCAGCAGUGAGGAAUAUUGGUCAAUGGCCGGAAGGCUGAACCAGCCAUGCCGCGUGAAGGUCAGUGCCCUAUGGGCGUUAAACUUCUUUUGUGCGGGAGCAAUAAUGGUCACGUGUGGCCAGACGAGAGUACCGUACGAAUAAGCAUCGGCUAACUCCGUGCCAGCAGCCGCGGUAAUACGGGGGAUGCAAGCGUUAUCCGGAUUUAUUGGGUUUAAAGGGUGCGUAGGCUGUGAGGUAAGUCAGCGGUGAAAUGCCCCCGCUCAACGGGGUGAAGUGCCAUUGAUACUGCCUGGCUGGAAUGCGGAUGCCGUGGGAGGAAUGUGUGGUGUAGCGGUCAAAUGCAUAGAUAUCACACAGAACACCGAUUGCGAAGGCAUCUCACGAAUCCGCGAUUGACGCUGAUGCACGAAAGCGUGGGUAUCAAACAGGAUUAGAUACCCUUGUAGUC
rnacentral:rRNA from 1 species